CCGCUGAACUUAAGCAUAUCAAUAAGCGGAGGAAAAGAAACCAACAGGGAUUGCCCCAGUAACGGCGAGUGAAGCGGCAACAGCUCAAAUUUGAAAUCUGGCUUCGGCCCGAGUUGUAAUUUGUAGAGGAAGAUUUUGGUGAGGCACCUUCUGAGUCCCCUGGAACGGGGCGCCAUAGAGGGUGAGAGCCCCGUAUAGCUGGAUGCCUAGCCUGUGUAAAUCUCCUUCGACGAGUCGAGUAGUUUGGGAAUGCUGCUCUAAAUGGGAGGUAAAUUUCUUCUAAAGCUAAAUAUUGGCCAGAGACCGAUAGCGCACAAGUAGAGUGAUCGAAAGAUGAAAAGCACUUUGAAAAGAGGGUUAAACAGCACGUGAAAUUGUUGAAAGGGAAGCGCUUGUGACCAGACUUGCGCCGGGCGGAUCAUCCGGUGUUCUCACCGGUGCACUCCGCCCGGCUCAGGCCAGCAUCGGUUUUCGUGGGGGGAUAAAGGCCCGGGGAACGUAGCUCCUCCGGGAGUGUUAUAGCCCUGGGCGCAACGCCCUCGCGGGGACCGAGGUUCGCGCUUCUGCAAGGAUGCUGGCGUAAUGGUCAUCAGCGACCCGUCUUGAAACACGGACCAAGGAGUCAAGGUUUUGCGCGAGUGUUUGGGUGUAAAACCCGCACGCGUAAUGAAAGUGAACGUAGGUGAGAGCUUCGGCGCAUCAUCGACCGAUCCUGAUGUAUUCGGAUGGAUUUGAGUAGGAGCGUUAAGCCUUGGACCCGAAAGAUGGUGAACUAUGCUUGGAUAGGGUGAAGCCAGAGGAAACUCUGGUGGAGGCUCGCAGCGGUUCUGACGUGCAAAUCGAUCGUCAAAUCUGAGCAUGGGGGCGAAAGACUAAUCGAACCAUCUAGUAGCUGGUUACCGCCGAAGUUUCCCUCAGGAUAGCAGUGUUGUUCUUCAGUUUUAUGAGGUAAAGCGAAUGAUUAGGGACUCGGGGGCGCUUUUUAGCCUUCAUCCAUUCUCAAACUUUAAAUAUGUAAGAAGCCCUUGUUACUUAAUUGAACGUGGGCAUUCGAAUGUACCAACACUAGUGGGCCAUUUUUGGUAAGCAGAACUGGCG
rnacentral:rRNA from 1 species